ensembl:lncRNA
CUGCAAGACACGUUGAGGAGGUAAUUUAGCCAUUUGAAUCAGCUGUGUUGGAUCAAGGACACAUCUAAAACCUGCAGGACACCGGCCCUGGAGGCCUGGAGUUCGACACCUGUGUCCUAGAGCCUUGCCGGUAGCAUGGCUAAAACCUGAAAUCCGACAGCAGACAGUAGACGGCGGGAGCCAGUGGCCUCAGAAAACAGCUUGUUCUCAUAGCCCUGUGCAUGCCACGAGGAAAGACGAGCAUAGGGAGAAGAAAGUGGAUCAGCUGCCUAUGAAGGUUCACAUUGUGGGAAGAUAGAAGAGAUCAAAUGUUUGAAAAACACGCUCUAAUUUUGUCAUACACUAUCAACAUGAAGUUGGCAAAACUCUCACUUAUGUGAUUAUUUUUCAAUACUCCUAAAUUAUUCCCUACCAGCUCCUGCUCCAGUUAUAACGAGGCCUGCCUGUAUUUUGUAUUCUGUGAACAUUGGUUAUGCACAUCUGUUAUCAGUUGCUCAUCAAAUUCAUCAUUCAUGCUUGGUACCGUGUUAUUGAUCUUAUUCCAUCAGCCUUUGUCAGUAGUCUGCUUGACGGUGGAUAUUAAACACAGCUACUACGUUUUCAAUUGAAUCAGUGGUGUGCUGCUAAGAGACGUUGGGAAGUGCUUUUCAAGUAAAAUGAAACAUUCAUUAAAUCUGUGUUGUGUUUUAUCCGCUACUCCAAUUCUAAUUUCCUGGUCUGUGGUUUGCCCACAGAAAUUUCCUGGCCCAAACUUGUUUUAUUUUUCUUUUUGUAGUUCAGGUGCAUCAAAAAAAAAGAGAGGAUUAGGUAUAAGUAGAUAAAAUGGUAAAUGAAGAUGUGUUGAAAACCCCUCAUUUUUGUUUAUUUUUGUCAGAGGCUUUAUUCCAAGUUUGAGCUGCAGAUCACAAACUUCUGUUAUGAAUUACAAUUUAAUUUUCUCUGAGGUAAAACAAUUACUUCCAGACAAUACACAGCUGAGAUUAUUAAAUUACUUUGAGGCUGAAGGAGGAUGGGAGUCAUGAAAGUGUGGGUGGGAUAGAAAGAGAUGUGAGAAGAUGAAUUUAGCAGCCCGGGCAGGGAACCAGAGGCGACGUCAGAAAAAGAGAAGAAUCCAGUUAGGUCGGACGAAUAAGAGAGCAACAAGGCCAGGAUGUCAGCUGGUCCUGCUCUGUUUGAGCCCCUGAUUUUGUUUGUGAACUGUAAUGUCUUCACCUCUAAUCUCAUUCACAAGGUUUUCCUUCCUGUCACAUCUCUGAGAGCUUGUUUAAAAAAAGUAAGCUACUUACUUACACAAGUAAUUUCAGUCUUACUUGUGUAAAGAUUUUCCUCUUAAUAAAUGAACUUCUGUAUUUACUUGGAUUAUAUUCAUCUAAUAUUCAAUUUGUUUGAUGAUCUGAAACAUGUAAGUGUGGC